UUCGUGUGAACAGUGGUUGAUCACGAGUUAGUCGGUCCUAAGUUCAAGGCGAAAGCCGAAAAUUUUCAAGUAAAGAAAAAUCAAUUAUUAUAUAUGCCAAAUUAACAGAUUUUUAAACACUUGAAUAAUUUUGAACGAAAGGGAAUACGGUUCCAAUUCCGUAACCUGUUGAGUAUCCGUUUGUUAUUAAAUAUGGGCCUCGUGCUCAUCCUGGCAACAGGAACGACCAUAAAGAAGCCGUCGAGAGGUAUCGGAAGAGUUUUCUUUUCUGUUUUAUAGCCGUACUACCAUGGAAGUCUUUCGCAGAGAGAUAUGGUAGAUGGGCUAGAAGAGCAUGACAUAUACUGUUGUGUCGAUAUUUUCUCCUCGGACCUUGAAAAUUUAUGGUGGGGAUACGCAAACUUCUCAACAGGCCGUACCAAUAUCCGCAGCUGGUCUCCAAGGUGAAGAGUCUCUAGUCGAUAAAAUA
rnacentral:rRNA from 1 species